UUUUAAUAGCUUAUGUUAGAGUAUAAUAUUGAAGAUAUUAGGGAAGAAUUGCUCUUUAAAAUAU
rnacentral:tRNA from 1 species